AAACGAUGCCAACCAGUAAUUCGCCUGAGUUCCUUAAAUGACUCGGCGGGCGGCUUCCGGGAAACCAAAGUUUUUCGGUUCCGGGGGAAGUAUGGUUGCAAAGCUGAAACUUAAAGGAAUUGACGGAAGGGCACCACCAGGAGUGGAGCCUGCGGCUUAAUUUGACUCAACACGGGAAAACUUACCCGGCCCGGACACUGGAAGGAUUGACAGAUUGAGAGCUCUUUCUUGAUUCAGUGGGUGGUGGUGCAUGGCCGUUCUUAGUUGGUGGAGCGAUUUGUCUGGUUAAUUCCGAUAACGAACGAGACUCUAGCCUACUAAAUAGACCAGAGGCUUCUUAAAACACGUCUCUGGCUGCUUCUUAGAGGGACAGGCGGCGGUUCAGCCGCACGAAACAGAGCAAUAACAGGUCUGUGAUGCCCUUAGAUGUCCGGGGCCGCACGCGCGCUACACUGAAGUGAUCAGCGUGCUUUUUGUACCCUGCUCUGCCAAGAGUGGGUAACCCAAUGAACCUUCUUCGUGAUUGGGAUAGGGGAUUGUAAUUAUUCCCCUUGAACGAGGAAUUCCCAGUAAGCGCGAGUCAUAAGCUCGCGUUGAUUACGUCCCUGCCCUUUGUACACACCGCCCGUCGCUACUACCGAUUGAAUGAUUUAGUGAGGUCUUCAGACUGGCCGGUGCAGCUACUCUCACGGGUGGCAGCGCUGUGUUUGGAAAGAUGCC
rnacentral:rRNA from 1 species